GUCGGUACUUUAAGAGGAUUUGUCUCGUUAACCCCUCGUGUCCGACACCGGCGUCGGUCACGAGUUAGGGGUGUUACAAUUUUAUUGGUAUCAGAGCUAUGGUUUAGUCGGUUCUAGGACUACCAUAGCGCGUGUGAGUCUAGCUAUACAUGCCAAAUUGUUAGCGCUUAAUAAUGUGAUGACUUCUGACGGUUGAAAUUUUUGUUUUGAUUAGCGAUGGAACCCGGGGUAGAGAGACCCUUGGCGGAUGACGUUGAAAGUGUAGCGGCUGCUCCUGCGCAAGGGACACCGCCUGUUGAGCCUCAGUCAUCCGCGAAUAAUCAAAAUGAAGGGGCGAAACAAGCCUUCUUCACCAAGAUGAAUGAGUGGGUCGCGCAAUAUGCCCGAACCAACCCGGCUGUCCAACCAUUCCCGAAUUUAAAUACUCCACCCCAAGAGCCCGCAAUGCCUCCAGUUACUGAUCCUGUGAGGCUGAGUAAACCACCUGUGGACUUGAUUAGGAAGCGUGGGGCCGAGGAGUUCAAGGCCAUAGUUACUGAUGAUGCCGAAAAGGCCGAGUUCUUUAGGAGUCAUGCCUUAUAUGUAAAGAUUCCAUUUUGAGUCUAGUUUCAUUAGAAACAAACGGCACCAGUAUUAAAGCCCUGUACAGAAAGAUAUUCAAGUUGUAACGCGCGGAGGUCAGAGCAGUCGAUCCCUGUAACAUGGGUGACUUUAACUAAUAAACUGUACCAAUUGGCCCAACCAAAAAUUCUAAAAAUAAAUCCAUGGAUGGGUAUAUGAGUCUAAAUUCAGGGAAAAUUUACGAAACCAGUUUCCGAGUUUUGGAACUCGAGAUAUGAUUUUUAAGGCGACGGUGACGCAGUUUUCCAGCCUGUCCAGAAAUGCCAAAUUGGUCGGUACUUUAAGAGGAUUUGUCUCGUUAACCCGUCGUGUCCGACACCGGCGUCGGUCACGAGUUAGGGGUGUUACAGGAUCCAGCGGCUGGAAGAGCACCGCACGUCGCGUGGUGUCCUGCGCGCCCCCGGCGGCCCAUGAAAAUUUGGAGGACCGAGUGCCGUCUGCGCCCGGUCGUACUCAUAACCGCAUUAGGUCCCUAAGGUGAACAGCCUCUGAUCAAUGGAACAAUGUAGGCAAGGGAAGUCAGUAAAAUAAAUCCGUAACCUCAGGAAAAGGAUUGGCUUUGAGGGCUGGGCACGGAGGUGCCGGUCCUAAACCCGUCAGCUACCGGUGCACUACUCGAGCUACUUUCACGGCGAGAGCGGGUCGUCGCGUGCUGGACGGAGGACGGACGGCCUUCUCCGGGUGAUGAACAGUCGACUCAGAACUGGUACGGAUAAGGGGAAUUCGACUGUUUAAUUAAAACAAAGCAUUGAGAUGGUCCCUGCGGAUGCUCACGCAAUUUGAUUUCUGCCCAAUGCUCUGAAUGUCAAAGUGAAAAAAUUCAACCAAGCGCGGGUAAACAGCGAGAGUAACUAUGACUCUCUUAAGGUAGCCAAGUGCCUCAUCAUCUAAUUAGUGACGCGCAUGAAUGGGUUAAUGAGAUUCCCACUGUCCCUGUCUACUAUCCAGUGAAACCACAGCCAAGGGAACGGGCUUGGCAGAAUUAGCGGGGUAAGAAGACCCUGUUGAGCUUGACUCUAGUCCGACUUUAUGAAAUGACUUGAGAGGUGUAGGAUAAGUGGGAGCUCUCGGGCGAAACUGAAAUACCACUACUUUUAACGUUAUUUUACUUAUUUUGUGAAUCGGAGGUGGGGGACGGCCCCUCUUUUUGGACCUAAAGUCUGCUUCGGUCGGCCGAUCCGGGCCAAAGAAAUUGUCAGGCGGGGAGUUUGGCUGGAGCGGCACAUCUGUUAAAAGAUAACAACAAGAAUAGAAAUCUCGUGUGGAACAAAAGGGUGAAAGCUCGUUUGAUUCUGAUUUUCAAGCUAGAGGAGUCAGAAAGUUACCACAGGGAUAACUGGCUUGUGGCAGCCAAGCGUUCAUAGCGACGAUGCUUUCUGAUCCUUCGAUGUCGGCUCUUCCUACCAUUGUGAAGCAGAAUUCACCAAGUGUUGGAUUGUUCACCCACCAAUAGGGAACGUGAGAUGGGUUUAGACCAUCGUGAGACAGGUUAAUUUUACCCUAUUGAUGGCCGUGUCGCAAUAGUAAUUCAACCUAGUACGAGAGAAACCGUUGAUUCGCACAAUUGGUCAUUGCGCUUGGUUGAAAAGCCAGUGGCGCGAAGCUACUAUGCGCUGGAUUAUGACUGAAUGCCUCUAAGUCAGAAUCUGGGCUAGAAGCGACGCACGCGUCCGUCGCCAGAUUACCGACCUGUAGUAGGGGCCUUUGGCCCCCAAGGGCACGUGUCGUAGUUGCAGCGGCCGCGGUGGACAAGUCGCGGGCUCCUUCUUCGAGCGUAAUUCCCACCAAGCGGCGAGUAGAAUCCUUU
rnacentral:rRNA from 1 species